UCAGGAUGAACGCUGGCGGCGUGCUUAACACAUGCAAGUCGAACGGUGAAGGAGAGCUUGCUCUCUGGAUCAGUGGCGAACGGGUGAGUAACACGUGAGCAAUCUGCCCCUGACUCUGGGAUAACAGUUGGAAACAGCUGCUAAUACUGGAUACGAGACGUGAAGGCAUCUUCAACGUCUGGAAAGAAUUUCGGUCAGGGAUGAGCUCGCGGCCUAUCAGCUUGUUGGUGAGGUAACGGCUCACCAAGGCGUCGACGGGUAGCCGGCCUGAGAGGGUGACCGGCCACACUGGGACUGAGACACGGCCCAGACUCCUACGGGAGGCAGCAGUGGGGAAUAUUGCACAAUGGGCGAAAGCCUGAUGCAGCAACGCCGCGUGAGGGACGACGGCCUUCGGGUUGUAAACCUCUUUUAGCAGGGAAGAAGCGAAAGUGACG
rnacentral:rRNA from 1 species